rnacentral:rRNA from 1 species
UACGAGGGGGGCAAGCGUUGUUCGGAAUUAUUGGGCGUAAAGGGUGCGUAGGCGGUCUGACAAGUCUGAUGUGAAAUCUAUGGGCUCAACCCAUAGCCUGCAUCGGAAACUGUCGGGCUUGAGUAUGGGGAGAGGUGAGUGGAAUUUCCGGUGUAGCGGUGAAAUGCGUAGAUAUCGGAAGGAACACCUGUGGCGAAAGCGGCUCACUGGACCAUAACUGACGCUGAUGGCACGAAAGCUAGGGGAGCAAACAGG